UUCAUCAUAGUUCAGUGGUUAGAAUAUAAGCCUCUCACGCUUGAGACCCGGGUUCAAUUCCCGGUGAUGAAG
rfam:Pseudocohnilembus persalinus scaffold1230, whole genome shotgun sequence.